GUUUGACUCUUGACGAGCUAGGUGAAGCUUGGAGGAGAUGAUCAAACGGGAUAAAGGCACGAGUAAGACUUGCUUGGAUGAAAGGAACGAAUAGCAAUUUGGAUAAUUGCGUCAUCAUAGAAUAUUGAAUUAAUAAUAGGAAGGUAUAAACGGGUCUAUACGUUGACUCGAGCCAGGUACGCUUAUAUAUAGAUUUAUAGUUAAAAGUGUUUAACUUCCCUUAACGGGUCAAAAGGAGUAGAUAGGUAAAACGGGUUAAGAAUUCAUAAGAAACCCGUAAUUUGAACCUUGCACAGUAGUAAAUUGAUAUAACGUGAUAUGCAUGAUAUUUUGAAAAGGUAAUAGACAAGUUUGUUUGAUAAAUCACGAAAGGGUCAAAAAGUGUCAUAAUUGAAUUUCAAGCCGAGAGCUUGAAAGUUAAAAUUUUGUGAAUUUAGAUGU
rnacentral:lncRNA from 1 species